GUCUCUAUGGCCAAGUGGAAAAGGCGCAGAUCUCCUAAGUCUGUAUCGAUGGUUCGAAUCCAUCUAGGGGCG
rnacentral:tRNA from 1 species